rnacentral:lncRNA from 10 species
GCUGAUGAUACCACCACCAAGAAAUCAUCACCAUUAAUAUUUUGGCUUUUUUGUUUUCAGAUUUUUUCCAUUAUGAAAUUGUUGAUAUUUGAUCCUUUUGACCUAUAAAAAUGUUAAUAUCAUAUAGCUUACUCGAACAUAUCCAAAUAAUGUCAUAUAUAUUAUUUUAUGUACCAAAAAGCAUACUAAACAGAUUGUUUUAUAGCUUACUUUUCUCAUUUUUAACAUUAUAAUUUAAGCAUUUGUUCAUAAUAUUAAAACUUUUUGAAAACAUUAUUAUGAAUGACUAUUUCAAUAUGUGGAUGUACCACAACUUACCUAAUGAUUUACCUACUGGUAAUCAUUGAGUUGGACUGGUUGGACAUGAGUUGUUUCUAAUUUGUCGCUAUUACAAAUAAUGCUCUGAUAAAUAUGUAUAAUUAAUUUGUGUUUCAGAUUAUUUUUAUUUCUAGAAAUGAGAUUCUUGGUUAUAGGCUAAAUAUAUUUUCUUGUUUUUUUUUUUUUUGUUCAUUUGUUUGUUUGAGAUGGAGUCUCUCUGUCACCCAGACUGGAAUGCAGUGGCAUGAUCUUGGUUCACUGAAACCUCUGCCUUUCUGGUUCAAGCAAUUCUCAUGUUUCAGCCUCCCAGGCAACGUGUUGGACCUUCCGGAGCUUCUCAGAAGACAGAGGGUUUUCUUUUGAGGUAAAUUUGAUAGUACAUUUUGAUAGUACAGGAGGCGAUACGGCAUGGUGACAGAAAAGCGCCGGCUUGGUUAGCGGGACCACCUGGCAGGGCUGCAGGCUGUGCCACUUACCAGGCAGGGGACCUUGGGCCAGCUGCUUGGCCUCACUCACCCUGUUUCCUCAGCUGCAAUUGGGAUGAACAGACUGCCUGCUUCGGGGUUGCCUAAAACUCACAUUGCUUAAUGAUGUGAAAUGCUUAGCGCAGUGCCUGGCAUAGAGAGAAUUCUCAUUAGAUGAUACCUCAGCUGGGCUUUAGGAGCUACAGAAGAAGCUGCAUCUCCAUGAGCUCAGCGUGUUUCUAGCUUUCCUUUUUGUUUUCUAUUCAACCUUUCACCCAACUCAGCUUCUCAAUCCCUAAAUGACAAAGGUUUGGGAAGGAAGACUUGGACCGAUGCUUGCAUUUGUUUCUGAGAAUUAAACGUUAUGUUUUCUUCAAUCCAAAUAGGUUUGCUUGUACAGCCUUGUUCAAUGGUUUUUUUUUUUUUUUUCUCCAUGAUAAAUGACUCUCAACUUCUUUUCCCUCAUUUAAUUGCUUAUCUACAUACAAUGCCUGGAAGGAAAUAAAUGUAAUGGCCCGUAGCAGUUGGCCUUCAGAUAUCAAGUUUAAGUCCCUUUAAGCAGAACAGCAAAUUGAGCACAGAAUGAACUGGUUUCAUGGUAGCGUACUGCAAUUAGAUGCAAGAAUAGGGAAAGCAGGGUGCUUCAAUUGGUGACACAAUUAGUAUAGCACUGGGGGACUUCUCUUUCCACUUCUUCAACUCCGCCUGCAUUCCGCUGGCUGAAGAGUUGAUGACAUCCCUGAAAAAUCUUCCCUCUCUUGUUUCUCUGAUGCCACCUCUGUGUUCUCCGCCUCACUGGCCACACUUCCUUUACCUCCCAAACUUUUAACUCUGAGUGUCCCAAACUUGUCUCAUCACCUACCCCUGCUGCCCAGCUCCCCAGCCUGUUCCCCUUCUGACACGGGCACUCUCCUUCUGCUGUCUUGGGAGAGAAACAAUGAAGGCCUAGUUGGCACUUUUAUUUCUAUUCAAGGAACCAGACUGUGAACAAGUUUACCAUUUAGUCCUUUGGACUGUGUCUUGAAUUCAUCCCUCUUCUCCAUUCUCACCAGCACCAUCAUCAUGAUGGCUAAUAUUUCCUGAGCACCUUUCAUCCAGGCAUGAUGCCAGGUGCACCAACUUACUUAAUCCUCAUAGCCACCACCUGAGCAAGCUCCUGUUUUAUAAAUGGACCAGUUCUUGUUGCUAUUGUACAAGUUAUUUUCUUUCUAUAACGUCCUCCUUGUCCUCCUUCCACAUUCUUAAAGAAACUUGCCCUUCCUUUAAAGUACUCAGGGAGCCCUGCAUUGCUUCUUGAAGCCUUCUCCAGCUUCAUCAUCUCACAGUGGUCUCUCUUUUCACUAAAUGUCCAAUAUGCUGCACAUAAGUACCCCAAAGUUAGCACAGAAUUGUUCCAUGGCUGUCAUAUAUGUUAAAAAUCAUUAAAAGUUCAUUUUUUCUCUCA